rnacentral:sRNA from 1 species
GCCGGGCGCGGUGGCUCACGCCUGUAAUCCUAGCUCUUGGGAGGCCGAGGCGGGUGGAUCACUCAAGGUCAGGAGUUCGAGACCAGCCUGAGCGAGAGUGAGACCCCGUCUCUACUAAAAAUAGAAAGAAAUUAUCUGGACAACUAAAAAUAUAUAGAAAAAAUUAGCUGGGCAUGGUGGUGCAUGCUUGUAAUCCCAGCUACUCGGGAGGCUGAGGCGGGUGGAUCACUCAAGGUCAGGAGUUCGAGACCAGCCUGAGCGAGAGUGAGACCCCGUCUCU